rnacentral:rRNA from 1 species
AGUGAACGCUGGCGGUAGGCCUAACACAUGCAAGUCGAACGGCAGCACAGUAAGAGCUUGCUCUUACGGGUGGCGAGUGGCGGACGGGUGAGGAGUACAUCGGAAUCUACUUUUUCGUGGGGGAUAACGUAGGGAAACUUACGCUAAUACCGCAUACGACCUACGGGUGAAAGCAGGGGAUCUUCGGACCUUGCGCGAUUGAAUGAGCCGAUGUCGGAUUAGCUAGUUGGCGGGGUAAAGGCACCAAGGCGACGAUCCGUAGCUGGUCUGAGAGGAUGAUCAGCCACACUGGAACUGAGACACGGUCCAGACUCCUACGGGAGGCAGCAGUGGGGAAUAUUGGACAAUGGGCGCAAGCCUGAUCCAGACAUACCGCGUGGGUGAAGAAGGCCUUCGGGUUGUAAAGCCCUUUUGUUGGGAAAGAAAAGCAGCAGGUUAAUAACCCGCUGUUCUGACGGUACCCAAAGAAUAAGCACCGGCUAACUUCGUG